GGAGACGACGUGCACAAAGAGAUCUUUGAUAUUAGUCCAUAAAGUACCUUUGUCUCGCUCAAAUUCAUUGUUUGAAUACAGCAUGUAAGACUCGCAAGGGAGACACGGUGGGAAAAAGUAUUUUAAUCUAAGACGCCACAUGAACGCCAACUGUUAAUCAGCUAAUCAAAUGAAAAGAAAAGUAAUCAAAUGUCUAUUCCUUUUCUCAUCAGGGAUCAUAUCAUAAUAAUUGACAAUCCAACGUUGAAUAUGUUAAAAUCCUAAUGAAAUAAUGACUUCUUGAGCAGUUCAAGCCACAGGAUGCGACGCACGAGGGUGGUCAGUGUGUCACUCCUCAGUGUGAACGUGAAAACUGACAGGCCGCACUGCUGGAGGGACCUUAAUCAUCUCCAAUCAAAGCUCCUCUUUAUGAGACGUCUCUCUCCGCAGGCAGUCUGGAGGUCAGCCACCAUCACACAAGGACCUCUUCACAUGGAGAGUCUGCUGCGGACGUGAGCCAAACCCACGAGCAACGGGCCGGCGCUGGCAGAGAGGGUGAUGAGCGGAGCGGUGGCUCUGACAGACGGCAGUAAUGGAGGAAGGAUUGUGAUGAAAAGGAAGAGGCUCAGUACAACCAGUGCGAGUGUAACAUGGACUAACUGGGUAAAGUGGCAGAGGAGGUGGACGUCAGCUGCAGCCGAGAGGAGACGUCACCUCCAACACCCUGAAGCUGACAGCUCCUGCGUGGACAACACACUGUGGGAACAGCAAGAGUGUCCGGUUUGUGACUGAAAGAAUUAGCACCAGAAUCAUCCACCUCAUCAUCUGACAUGUCUGCUCCUGAAGUCACAGGCUUCUAUGUCCUCCUUUUUUAAUGUGCAUGCUGGGAUAAGCCAAGAAGACGGGACUACCACAAAAUCUGCAAGCCUCUAACGCCACAGCGACACUGACCAGAGCUCUGCAGCUUCUUCCACGUCUGCGAGACGAGGCAGAAGCUGUUGGCCAGAGGCUUCACCAGGCCGCCGAACGGAGGGUCGGCCACCAUCACCGCCUUCUCUCCGUCGGCCUCCGCGAGGAAGGAGCGCAGCACCGCGCUGGACGCCUGGACGGGAGAGGAAACGUUCCAUAAAUGAACAUGACACACGCUGG